CUUGAACACUCUCGUGAUGUUGCCUCUAGGAACCCAGCCAGCAUGCUUGUGAGAAGCAUGCCUGAGUCCUAGAGAGUCAAUAGUCUCUGAUGAAUGCCACCCAACAGUCAAUAUCAACUGAAAGCCAUCUGCGUGAGCCAUCUCAGUCCAGUCAAGCUAUCAACAUGACUGCAGCAGCACUGGAGACUGCAAGAAAGAAUUGCCCAGCUUAGGCCAGUCAACACACAGGAUUACAAAAGACAGAUUUCCAAUGAAUCACCCUGAAGUAGUACCUGCAAUGACGUUGCACACACUAUUCUCUGCAAUCAGCUGUGCGAAGACAGCUGUCACUCCUCUUCGUCACUAAAGGGAAUCCCAGUCUGAUGGCAGCAGUCCCAUGGUAAGAUCUGGUCUGCAGAGAAGAACCAUCACAGAACUCUCCAAGAAUAUAUUUAUCAAAGCCAUGUGGAAGAGAGUAUCCUCUGGACCAUCCCAGGAUGAUUCCUGGCCACAGCAAAGAGGA
rnacentral:lncRNA from 10 species